UUGGAGGGCAAGUCUGGUGCCCAGCAGCCGCGGUAAUUCCAGCUCCAAUAGCGUAUAUUAAAGUUGUUACAGUUAAAAAGCUCGUAGUUGAAUUUCGGGAUCAAUAUUUCGGUCAUGCCGUUGGUAUGCACUGUUAUCAUUAAUUUCUCACCUUCUAAAGAACCGUAAUGCCAUUAAUUUGGUGUUACGGGGAAUUAGGACUGUUACCUUGAAAAAAUUAGAGUGUUUAAAGCAGGC
rnacentral:rRNA from 1 species